rnacentral:rRNA from 1 species
CCUACGGGAGGCAGCAGUGGGGAAUAUUGCUCAAUGGGGGAAACCCUGAAGCAGCGACGCCGCGUGAAGGAUGAAGGAUUUCGGGUUGUAAACCUCUUUUAGUAGGGAAGAAAAUGACGGUACCUGACGAAUAAGCCCCGGCUAACUACGUGCCAGCAGCCGCGGUAAUACGUAGGGGGCAAGCGUUACUCGGAUUUACUGGGCGUAAAGGGAGCGUAGGCGGGAUGACAAGUCAGAAGUGAAAUGCUUGGGCUUAACCCUAGAACUGCAUUGGAAACUGUGAGGCUAGAGUGUAGGAGAGGUAGGUGGAAUUCGUGGUGUAGCGGUGAAAUGCGUAGAGAUCAGGAGGAAUACCCAUUGCGAAGGCGGCUUACUGGACUGUAACUGACGCUGAGGCUCGAAAGCGUGGGGAGCAAACAGGAUUAGAUACCCUAGUAGUC